rnacentral:rRNA from 1 species
GGAGGAAAAGAACUAACAAGGAUUCCCCUAGUAACUGCGAGUGAAGCGGGAAAAGCUCAAAUUUAAAAUCUGGCAGUCUAUAGCUGUCCGAGUUGUAAUCUAGAGAAGUAAUGCCCGCACUGGACCGUGUACAAGUCUCCUGGGAUGGAGCGUCAUAGAGGGUGAGAAUCCCGUCUCUGACACGGACUACCAGGGUUUUGUGGUAUGCUCUCAAAGAGUCGAGUUGUUUGGGAAUGCAGCUCAAAAUGGGUGGUAAAUUCCAUCUAAAGCUAAAUAUUGGCGAGAGACCGAUAGCGAACAAGUACCGUGAGGGAAAGAUGAAAAGAACUUUGGAAAGAGAGUUAAACAGUACGUGAAAUUGCUGAAAGGGAAACGCUUGAAGUCAGUCACGUUGGCCAGGAAUCAGCCUUGCGUCUUUGCCUGGUGUAUUUCCUGGUUGAUGGGUCAGCAUCAAUUUUGACUGCUGGAAAAAGGCUUGAGGAAUGUGGCAGCUCUGGCUGUGUUAUAGCUUCAUGUCACAUACAGCAGUUGGGAUUGAGGAAUUCAGCAUGCCGCAAGGCCGGGUUUAGACCACGUUCAUGCUUAGGAUGCUGGCAUAAUGGCUUUA